GACGAACGCUGGCGGCGUGCUUAACACAUGCAAGUCGAACGGAAAGGCCCUGCUUUUGUGGGGUGCUCGAGUGGCGAACGGGUGAGUAACACGUGAGUAACCUGCCCUUGACUUUGGGAUAACUUCAGGAAAAUGGGGCUAAUACCGGAUAGGAGCUCCUGCUGCAUGGUGGGGGUUGGAAAGUUUCGGCGGUUGGGGAUGGACUGGCGGCUUAUCAGCUUGUUGGUGGGGUAGUGGCUUACAAAGGCUUUGACGGGUAGCCGGCCUGAGAGGGUGACCGGCCACAUUGGGACUGAGAUACGGCCCAGACUCCUACGGGAGGCAGCAGUGGAGAAUAUUGCACAAUGGGCGGAAGCCUGAUGCAGCAACGCCGCGUGCGGGAUGACGGCCUUCGGGUUGUAAACCGCUUUCGCCUGUGACGAAGCGUGAGUGACGGUAAUGGGUAAAGAAGCACCGGCUAACUACGUG
rnacentral:rRNA from 1 species